rnacentral:rRNA from 1 species
GUCGAGAAUAAUUCACAAUGGGGGAAACCCUGAUGGUGCAACGCCGCGUGGAGGAUGAAGGUCUUCGGAUUGUAAACUCCUGUCAUCUGGGAGUAAGACCUGACGGUGAAUAGCCGGCAGGGUUGAUAGUACCAGAAGAGGAAGGGACGGCUAACUUCGUGCCAGCAGCCGCGGUAAUACGAAGGUCCCAAGCGUUGUUCGGAAUCACUGGGCGUAAAGGGAGCGUAGGCGGCGUGGUAAGUCAGAUGUGAAAUCCCGGGGCUCAACCCCGGAACUGCAUCCGAUACUGCCAUGCUUGAGGGUUGGAGAGGUAGCUGGAAUUCUCGGUGUAGCAGUGAAAUGCGUGGAUAUCGAGAGGAACACUCGUGGCGAAGGCGAGCUACUGGACAACAUCUGACGCUGAGGCUCGAAGGCCAGGGGAGCAAAAGGGAUUAGAAACCCGAGUAGUCC